rnacentral:lncRNA from 1 species
AAAAAAACUACAAAGGAAGGAGACUCAAGGGCAGCAAGCACAUCCUUAACCCGCCUCCCGGAGAGGAACUGAGGCCAUCCUAGGGCAGAAAUACAAAAUAGAGCACUAGGUUUGGACGCGAUAUUUAUUUUUUCUUAAAACGGCCAAUGCAUUGUUUUAUUUAAAGAUCCUUUGGGUUAAAAAAAAAAAUCCCUCACACUUUCUAUUGCAGAUUCGCUAACGCGGUAGUUCCAGUAACUUUGAAUGAAUAAAUGACUGGAAGUUAUUGUUUGGGGGAAGCUUGAGGAAAGCUUGCCAUUUGCCAAGCAUUAAUCCCAUCAUUGGGGAUAUUCAAGCAGAGAAUGGAAGGAACCCUUGUGCUCUUCUUCCCCACGCACACACGUGUGCAAUCUGAGCUUCUCACAGAAGUGGACUGACAAACAUCCAUUACGCAGAAAAUCUUUUCUUUAGAGGUGUCUGGUCCACAGUAAAAGAGUGGUUAGUUAUUUCACUUUGGCGAUGAAGUUCAAAGACAUUUGGCCCUAAUCUGACAUAAGAAAUUAAUGAUUCAGCACCUGGUUCUUCGGCGGCUCUAGACAGCAUCUCCAAACUGCCCUUGAAGAAUUCCUCCCUCUAGUGCUAACUCCAUGAACUCCUGGGGUCUCUCAUGGUUCAAAAGCUCCAUCCAAGGCAGACCUAAUGGCACAACCUAGACUCCUGCCUAAUCGUGAGGCUGAGGCAAGAGAGUCACAGAUUCAAGGUCUGCCUGGGCUACAGAGUUAGAGUCCAUGACGGCAAGACAGAAGCAACAGGCAGCAGGCAUGGUGGCAAGAGAAGGCGGUUGAGAGCUAAUUUCUCCAACUGCACACUGGAAGCAGAAAAUGACCUGGAAGUAACGAAGCUUUCUACUCUCAAUGCCAACCCAGUAACAUACUUCCUCCAGCUAAGCCACACCUCCUAAACCCACCCAGUGCCCACAACUGGAGACCAAGGGCUCACACGCCUCAGACUGUGGGAGGUGCUUCUCAUUCAAAUCACCACACUCUUGAAUUUCAAAUUAAAGCACA